rnacentral:rRNA from 1 species
CUUGGUCAUUUAGAGGAAGUAAAAGUCGUAACAAGGUCUCCGUUGGUGAACCAGCGGAGGGAUCAUUAGCGAGUUCUAAACUCCCAACCCUCGUGAACCUACCUAUUGUUGCUUCGGCGGGGCACCCCAGUACCUGGGGUGCUGCCCCCUCCGGGGGGCGCCCGCCGGUGCACGCAACCAAAACUCUGUUUUCCGGUGUAUUCUGAGUAAUUACAAAUAAGUCAAAACUUUCAGCAACGGAUCUCUUGGUUCUGGCAUCGAUGAAGAACGCAGCGAAAUGCGAUAAGUAAUGUGAAUUGCAGAAUUCAGUGAGUCAUCGAAUCUUUGAACGCACAUUGCGCCCGCUAGUAUUCUGGCGGGCAUGCCUGUUCGAGCGUCCUUUGGACCCUCGGGCCCUGGUGGAUUCGUCCCCCAGCGGCCCGGCGUUGGAGGCCCGCGGCUGCCGCGGCCCCCUAAAUACAGUGGCGGACCUCUCCAGGCCCUGGCGUAGUAAACAAUCUCGCCUUCGGCUCCGGAGCAGUGCCUUGCCUCCAGCACCAACUUAUAAGUCUGGACCUCGAAUCAGGUAGGAAUACCCGCUGAACUUAAGCAUAUCAAUAAGCGGAGGA